UACGUAGGGCGCAAGCGUUGUCCGGAAUUAUUGGGCGUAAAGAGCUCGUAGGCGGUCUGUUGCGUCCGCUGUGAAAACUCGGGGCUUAACCCCGAGCCUGCAGUGGAUACGGGCAGACUAGAGGUAGGUAGGGGGAGAAUGGAAUUCCCGGUGUAGCGGUGAAAUGCGCAGAUAUCGGGAGGAACACCGGUGGCGAAGGCGGUUCUCUGGGCCUUACCUGACGCUGAGGCGCGAAAGCUAGGGGAGCGA
rnacentral:rRNA from 1 species